CUUGACGGAGCCGAGCAGCAGCGGCUGCUCGGGCGAACGCUCCUGCCCGUAGGUGGCCAGCAGCGCCUGCGCCUC
rnacentral:antisense_RNA from 1 species